CAUUUUUAAGGGGCCUAUAUUAUUGUACCCCGGGCCGGAGCCAUAGAUAUCUUAUAUACACUGGAUAGUGUAUCUAAUUAUUCUACAAUUUAAAAAUUGAAGCCGUGAUUGCAGACACAGGAUAUUCCCAUGAAAUGAGAAGAUUCGUAUGUUUUCUAUUUCUUAAACACGGAACUUAAAUAUUACGGUAAACCUAUUCCAA